rnacentral:lncRNA from 1 species
CACUCCAAUAGUAUCAGAAAUCGAAUCAAUGCAUAGGAAAUGAAUGCGUUGUCAUACUAUAUAGAAUUCAGACUAUAUCACAUAACUUUUUUGACUGGAUCUUACGGAGCCUGUUGAUGCAGAAUAAAAUUGAGUCUGAUCAUAGAAAAGAUUCUCUUCAAGUAAAACCAGCCUACCCUCUCUGUAAGAGCCUUGCUUGGUGGUUGGAAAAAGACACAUUUAAUUGUAAAUUCUAAUGUGGCAGAUAAGAUAAAGUCAUAUAUCUGCGCGGCCAAAUAAAUAGUUCAAGUCACACACUCCCAUAAUCCAUUUUUUGUUUGGAGAGUUCCCUUCAACUAUUCAUGUAUGUAAAAAAAAAUUCAAUUUUUGUUAAGUUGAAGAGAAAUAUCUAAAUACAUGUCUUAUUUUGUUUUAUAAUCCAUAAUUGUAGCAAUGAAAUCAAAUCCUCCCCAAAAUAAAAAAUGAUUGUGAUUACAAAUA